rnacentral:lncRNA from 10 species
AUGUGAAUCGGUGGGGGAAGGGAUGUUCCAUGCACGUACUCAGGACUCAGUCUCCUUCCAGCAAGAGGCUCUUCUGUUGCCUAGGGCUUUAUAGUCCUCUUUUUUCCCUUAGCUGCUGACCAGACCCAGAUGGUCGGGUCUGCUGUCCCCAAGGGCUUAUUGUCCUUCACUAGAUCUUCUGGAUCUGGCCAGUAGUCAAAGAAAGAAAGAGAGAGAACAUGGAGGAUCUUGCAGGAGUUUUUUUAAGGGCCAGGCUUGGAAGCAGCACACAUCGUUCCUAAUUCCCCAGGAUUCAUCAUACAGCUCCAACUGGCUGCAAGAUAAACUGAAAAAUGUCGACUCACUGUAUGCUGGGAGGAAGAAGAGACAGGAUUUGGUGAACACAGAGCAGUCUCUGCCAUAACAUCUAUAUAAUCUAUUUUAAGAAUUGACCCCCAAAAAUUAUGAGUGUGAAUAUGUUUGCUCCUAGCUGCUGCAGAAACCCUCCACCUCCAAUCUCCCUCCUCCACAUUCUGUGACAGGGGAAUAUCUCUCCAGCAGCUCAGUUGCAGUUUGUGUGAGCCCCCUUGGAAGGCAAUUGCUGGUUUGCAGAAAGGCAAAGAUCUGUCUGAGCGGAACAGAGAGCAGAACUGCAGCAGAGUCUAUGGGAAAUCCAGUAGAAAAUUCCAGGAGGAGGGAGCUGGUUUCCUGAAACUUUAAGCUUGAUGGGACCUGAACAAUAUAUCAUGGCAAAUCCUUGGGUGUUGAGUAUGCUAAGGUUAUAGUCUGUAUUAUGACUUUGGAUCUUGUAAAUGUCCAUUUAUUGAAUGUCAUAAACUGAGGAAUUAUGAACAAAUGAGGCAUGAAGACAGAGCGG